UCGUUUGCAUUGCUGAGUGUUGUGGAGGAGGAGGAAACUGUGACUCCAAACCAAUCAGGAAACAAGUGAAGAUGAGUAAAGUGUGGAAAAUUAGAAGAAUGGUUCUACUUUCAACAUCUAAAUCAUAAGUGAACUUUGACUGUUUCUGUUUGUUUAUUUUGUGCUUUGCUGUGAACUCUUUUCCUUCGUUUAUCUUUUGCCAUUUUUGUGUUCGAAAUACUAAUGGGGUUUUGUGAGGAUUCUCAAGCCUCAUCCUUAUCUC